rnacentral:rRNA from 1 species
CCAGAGGACCACCGGACACGAGGAACCCGGUGGGAAGCCGGGGGGACCACCCCCCAAGCCUAAAUACUACCUGAUGACCGAGAGUGAAAAGUACAGUGAUGGAAAGUUGAAAAGAACCCCGGAAGGGGAGUGAAACAGAAUCUGAAACCCUAUGUUUACAAGCUGCUAAAGCACCAUAUGAGUGCGAUAGCGUACUUUUUGUAGAACGGUCCGGCGAGUGUAUGUUGCAAGCGAGGUUAAGGUGUUAAGCACUGAAGCCGAAGGGAGACCGAGUGUGAAUAGCGCGUACAGUUUGCAGUAUACGACCCGAAACCGGGUGACCUAACCAUGGACAGGUUGAAGUGGAAGUAAAAUUCCAUGGAGGACCGAACCCACGUCUGUUGAAAAAGGCGGGGAUGAGCUGUGGUUAGCGGUGAAAUUCCAAUCGAACUCGGAUAUAGCUGGUUCUCAUCGAAAUAGCUUUAGGGCUAGCCUCAGGAUAGUUUAGCGGAGGUAAAGCACUGAAUGGGCUAGGGGGCUUCACGGCUUACCGAACCCUAUCAAACUCUGAAUGCCGCAUAAAUGUUUCCUGGGAGUCAGACUGCGUGAGAUAAGUUUCGUAGUCAAAAGGGAAAGAGCCCAGACCUACAGCUAAGGUCCCUAAAUGAAUUUAAGUGGAAAAGGAUGUGCAGUUGCGUAGACAACUAGGACGUUGGCUUAGAAGCAGCCACUCAUUUAAAGAGUGCGUAAUAGCUCACUAGUCGAGUGAUUGUGCGCCGAAAAUGUAACGGGGCUAAAAUUCAUACCGAAGCUUAGGAAUGAUAGUAAUAUUGUUGGUAGAUGAGCGUUGUGUAAGUCUGCGAAGCUACACCGAAAGGAGUAGUGGAGAUAUCACAAGUGAGAAUGCCGGAAUGAGUAGCGAGAAUUAUGUGAGAAUCAUAAUGGUCGAAAAUCUAAGGUUUCUUGAGGAAGGUUCGUCCGCUCAAGGUAAGCCGGGAGCUAAGGCGAGGCCGAGAGGCGUAGUCGAUGCACAUACGGUAAAGAUUCCGUAGCCACCGAAGUCGUUAAAUACAGGGACACAGGAACAUAGCCUAACCCCACCGUUGGUUGAGUGGGGCGUAAGGGAGCGAAAAUUAGUAGCGAAGUAGGUGAUUGUACACUGGCGAGAAAAGCUGUAUGAAUUGACAAGGUGCCCGUACCGCAAACCGACACAGGUAGAUGAGGAGAGAAUCCUAAGACCAGCGGGAGAAGUGUUGUUAAGGAACUCGGCAAAAUGACCCCGUAACUUCGGGAUAAGGGGAGCCUACGCGAGUAGGUCGCAGAGAAUAGUCUCAAGCGACUGUUUAGCAAAAACACAGGUCUAUGCUAAAUCGAAAGAUGAUGUAUAUGGGCUGACGCCUGCCCGGUGCUGGAAGGUUAAGGGGAAGUGUUAGAGCAAUCGAAGCACUGAACUUAAGCCCCAGUAAACGGCGGCCGUAACUAUAACGGUCCAAAGGUAGCCAAAUUCCUUGUCAGGUAAGUUCUGACCCGCACG